UUUAAUCUAGAUAUGCCUCACAGGCUUGCCCAAAGGCUGUUUCCUUUGAGAGUCUAGAUCCUGUCAACUUGACAACCAAUAUUAACCUUCAGUGUACCUACAGUUUACUCCAUCAAUAAUAUACUGUUACCCAAAUGUUCAUCUCUGGGGUUUAUUGAAGGAAACUUUGAGUGGAAACAUAAAGUCUUGAAACCCAACGGAUGGAUGCAGGCGCAGUGGAGCAGCCGCACAGAGGACCCACUUCUUUCAAGUGCUGAUCAUUCUUGACGAUGGGCUGAAUUUAUAUGGUUACUGCAAUAUAGAACUGUCUUCGUAACUAAAUAGAGAUCAGAAAUUGCGAAGAUCUUAUGAGAAAUAAAGGCACAUGAGGGAACCACGGUGUAUUCAUGUUCUCAAUCAACUCAGGAAGGAAGAGAAAGAACAGCAUUCAAGGUAGACUCAUAACCCGGAAGAACAUCAGUGAUGGUUUGGCUAUGCUCAGCCCAGGAAGUGGCACUAUUUGGAGGUGUGGCCUUGUUGGGUGGGCGUGGCCUUGUUGGAGUGGGCGUGGCCUUGUCGGAGGAAGUGUGUCACUGUGGGUGUGGGCUUUAAGACCCUCAUCCUAGCUGCCUAGAAGCGGGGAUUCUGCUAGCAGCCUUCAGAGAAAGAUGUAGAACUCUCAGCUCCUCCUGCACCAUGCCUGCCAGAAUGCCGCCAUGCUCCCGCCUUGAUGAUGAUAAUGGACUGACUGAACUUAAGGACGAAAACGAAAAAAAUUCACAAACAGACCUGAAUGGUGUGCCAGCCUCUUAACAUACCUACUGCAGCCAAAUGGAAGAAACCCGAUGCUUAUAUAUGCCAGACCAAACAGCUGGUCUCCCCAAGGAAGUGGGCUAGCGAGAGGCUGGCGGUCCACAGCUCACUGUGGGAAAAGCUCUCCUUUGAGCCUGCUACUUUUUGUAUUCUGUUAAAAUAGCCACCAGAGGGGAGGACAUAUGGAUGGGGUGCAGCCUGGUACCAGAUGGUGUGGGGUGAGCAAGACAAGACUCCCAUCUCCCGACACUAAAAAUGGAUGCCCUCUGGGCAGCUUGGAGUACCAACACAGGAAGUGGCUUCUCACCAUCCAAACCUCAGCUUCCCACUUCAGGUUGUGGGGGACGGAUGUUCUGACUUCUGCGGCACUCAAAACACAAGUGCUUUUAAUCUUAAACAAAACACUGGGAGGGAUGAUCCAUGCCUGGAGUCAGUUCUCCUUCUUGGGAAGAGGGUUUGCUUAUUGAAUUAGACACUCUUAAGUGGGGAACAGUCUGUUCCUGGGUUCCAGCCGGACCAGGCUUUAGGAAGAGCACAUCUUGCUCUGACUUCUACCGUAUCAAGGAAUUUUACUAACAGUUACCCUGGCUUUUCAGGGGACCGCUCAAUAAGGGUCCUUAUCCAAGUCAUGUUUUCCCACAUGGCUUAUUGUCUAAGAGGGAAAAGGAUAUCUGUCUUAAUCAGGGUCCUGUUGCUGCACAAAACACCAUGCCCAAGAAGCAAGUUGGGGAGGAAAAGAUUUAUUCAGCUUACACGUCCACAUUGCUGUUCAUUACCAAAGGAAGUCAGGACAGGAGCUCUCACAGGGCAAGAACCUGGAGGCAGGAGCUGAUGCAGAAGCCAUGGAGGAAUGCUGCUUUCUGGAUUGCUUCCCCUGGCUUGCUCAGCUUGCUUUUUUUUUUUUUUUUUUGGUUCUUUUUUUCGGAGCUGGGGACCGAACCCAGGGCCUUGCGCUUCCUAGGUAAGCGCUCUACCACUGAGCUAAAUCCCCAGCCCCUCAGCUUGCUUUUUUAUAGAACCCAGGACUACCAGCCCAGGGAUGGUUAUCACUCACAAUAGGCCUUUCCCACCUUUGAUCACUAAUUGAGAAAAUGCCUUACAGCUGGAUCUCAUGGAGGCAUUUCCUCAAGGGAGGCUCCUUUCUUUGUGACAGCUCCAGCUUGUGUCAAGUUGACACCCAGAACCAGCCGGUACGAUAAGCAAGCAUAAAGGAAAACCGUGGCUCAGAUAAACACUCGAAUCUCAAACACUUGAGCGUCACAGAAUGGAGUCUUGCAUUCUCUCAGGUGUUUCUGGUCUUCUGUCAGUAAAUAUGCCUAAGUCCCUCCCUCUUUAAAUCACUUAAAUGGAUGCAAACCUGGAACCUUCAAACACAAAGACAACCUCCAGAGUCUCUCACCGUACUUCCCUUCUCAUGGUUGUGGCCAAGGUCAAGAGGGAAGCAUGGCGGCUGAAGCUGACCCAUCAGAUGGGAGCCGCUAUUUCUGAAUAUGGAGUUUAUUAAGAGAGAGCAAGAAAAGUAGGGGAGGAAGCCACGCUGUCCACAACUGAAGGGGGCCUCCUUCCCUUAAGAGCAGCACUCUGAUUAGGAUGAAAAUGAAAGGCACCUUUAGAGCUGUGCAUUCUAACUUUAUGAACAGAAAAACUCAAAACUGGCUGCAACCGCAGCCCUACGGGAGUGUCCCACGGCUUCCAAGACAAUGCUUUUAAACUGAAGAAGCUGAUGUUUGCGGGUUUUCACGGAUGUUUUGGGGAAACCUUGUGACAGCAGCUGGAACUGAGGGGCUUAACUGAGCAGGAAGCAUCAGGCAGAAUUCACAGCUGCAAAGGAGGCUCAGCGCCCGCUCCCUUCCAGAGAAUCAUCCGUUAGCAUUACACGGAGAGCUCUCUACCACACUGUGAGAUAAACCUCGUACAUGCCGCGUUUACCUCGCAAAACAAACCCUUAUGGAACAGCUCGGUCUAUGUUUAUCCAAGUCACGGUGGGGCUUUACACACUGCUAGUCAAUGCCAAGUGUGAGGGAUGAUCAUAGCUAUUGCGUAAACCUGUCAGUAGCCUUGGUCCCUUGAAUCUAAGUGACCAAAGUCACUGGUUUUUAGUUGGGGAGGUAUGCUGUAGCUAGCGCUGCAUUAGAGGUCACGCUCCCGGUGGGACUAAGUAGUCUGUUCUGAUAAAACAAACUUCAUUCUCGAAUAUAACAAUGCAGACAAAAUGCUGGUUGCAUAAGAGAAUCUUUCCCAAUUAUGUUCUAGCUAAAAGCAGGGCAGAUGGUCUAAAGAGCUUAAUAAAAAUACAGACCUAGCUAGUCCCCCACUUAGUAUGCUGUUUUACUGAUAUUCUUAGAACUGUCUUCUAGGAUCAGGCUGUAGAUUAAGGUAUUGUUUCCUGGGUAAGAACUAUAACCCAUCCAUUUUUUUUUAAGAUUUAUUUAUUUAUUAUAUAUAAGUACACUGUAGCUGUCUUCAGACACACCAGAAGAGGGCAUCAGAUCCCAUUACAGAUGGUUGUGAGCCACCAUGUGGUUGCUGGGAUUUGAACUCAGGACCUCUGGAAGAGCAGUCAGUGCUCUUAACCGCUGAGCCAUCUCUCUAGCCCUUAACCCAUCCAUUUUUAUAAAAAUCAGAACCUGGACUGCCUUAGCUCCUUUGAGAACAGCCUCAGUGACCAUCCUUCAAAGGUACUUUUUCUAAAAUUCAGAGAAAUUGACUUUAUUAUCUGUUUGCAUGGCUGGUAUGACGGAUGCUCAGACCUUUUAGAUCUCAAAAUGACUGGGAGUUGAUCUGUCACAGCCCCUUCCGUUUCUGUCACCUGCAGACAGCUGCUGGUCUUCCAGAGUUGGCUUGAGAUUGUACCUAGUGUUAGGGCUGGUUUGGGUCUUUGACCAAGAACAACCUCAAGCAGGUUCAUCGUGGAGAACAAGAUACAUUAAGCCCUUAACAUGGCAAAGAAAACCCAAGGUAUAAAUCUAGGGCAUACCCUGAUGAUACCAGUGGAGUGGGGCAGGAUUUUUUUUAAAGCUUUAAUGAAAAAGUCAUGGCUUCCCUAGAGUCAACCAAAAACUAGGAGCAACAAGGGUUAAAGACCCAAUGGACCAAUCAGGAAGAUUUCAUUACGGUUACUCCUUUAACACAGUGCUUCUUACCCUUCCUAAGGCUGCAACCCUUUAAUAUAGUUCCACAUGUGUGGUGACCCCAACCGUACAAUUACUUUUGCUUCUACUUCAUAACUGUAAUUUUGCUGUUAUGAACCGUAAUGUAAAUAUCUGUGUUUUCCGAUAGCCGUGGGCGACCCC